GAGGCUGCCAGGCGGCUGCUCCCCUGCCCCUUCCCCGCGGCCUCCGAGCCCAGGAGGAAGACAGCCGGGUCCUCCUAAAGCCCCUGGGAGCCGCAGGGAGAGGUGGGUGAGUGGCAGAGGGCACCCGCCCCGCCCAGAGGCCCUGGCCGCCCUCCCCCAGAGGCUGCUCGAGCUGGGUGACCCUGUGGGGGUCUCCAGGCCUCUGCUCUCUCCCCUCCCCCUCCCCGGAGCCAGGCGAGGACACUGAGAUGCAGCGGCUGCAGCCGUGGAGCAGGGCGGUGCCAGCAGCCAAAGGGUUAAGGGCGCCGGCAGGGGCGCCUCCUAGGACGCGGCAGGGGCCGGGGUCGGAUGUCCCAGAGGUGGGACUGGCACGCGGGCUGCUAUUCCGGGGCUCUGAUGGCUGCUGUCUAUUUAUAGUGCUGGGGGGGGCAGCCCCGCACAGGCGGCAGAGGCUGCCUGCUGCAAUGUCACCACUGUCAUCGCUGCCGCAGGCUGCCGGCGCCCGCCACUGCCGCAGGGGACAGGCACCGCGUGAGAAUGGGCAGCAGCAUGGAGCCCCCCGGGGGUGGGUACCUGCACCUGGGUGCCGUGACGUCCCCCGUGGGCACGGCCCGCGUCCUGCAGCUGGCCUUCGGCUGCACCACCCUCAGCCUGGUGGCCCACCGGGGCGGCUUCACGGGCGCCCAGGGCACCUUCUGCAUGGCUGCCUGGGGCUUCUGCUUCGCGCUGUCCCUGCUGGUGGUAGCCUGUGAGUUCACCCGGCUCCACGGCUGCCUGCGCCUCUCCUGGGGCAACUUCACGGCGGCCUUCGCCAUGCUGGCCACACUGCUGAGCGCCACGGCUGCCGUCCUGUACCCGCUGUACUUCACCCGGCUGGAGUGCCCGCCCGAGCCCGCCGGCUGCAUGGCCAGGGACUUCCGGCUGGCAGCCAGUGUCUUCGCCGGGCUCCUCUUCCUGGCCUAUGCUGCGGAGGUGGCCCUGACGCGGGCCCGGCCUGGCCAGGUGGCCAGCUACAUGGCCACGGUGUCGGGGCUCCUCAAGAUCGUCCAGGCCUUUGUGGCCUGCAUCAUUUUUGGGGCGCUGGUCCACGACACCCACUACGGGCGCUACGUGGCCACCCAGUGGUGCGUGGCCGUCUACAGCCUGUGCUUCCUGGCUACGGUGGCUGUGGUGGUGCUGAGCGUGACGGGUCUCACGGGCGGCCUGGGCUGCCCCUUCGACCGCCUGGUCGUGGUCUACACCUUCCUGGCCGUGCUGCUGUACCUCAGUGCUGCUGUGAUCUGGCCCGUCUUCUGCUUCGACCCCAAGUAUGGUGAGCCGGGGCGGCCCAGGGACUGCCCUCGGGGCAGCUGCCCGUGGGACAGCCAGCUGGUGGUGGCCAUCUUCACCUACGUCAACCUGCUGCUCUACAUCGCCGACCUCGCCUACUCCCAGAGGAUCCGCUUCGUGCCCACUCUGUAGCCUGGCAAGUGCCACCUGCCCAGCUCCGCUGCCCGGCCAGGGGCUGCAGGCCCUGGAGGGGUGACCGGGUGAACCAACAUGGCAGGAGCAAGCAGGGGAGGGGGCGGGGCUCAGGGGCGAGGCCGUUGCUCUGCAGCUGGGCUCGGGCAGGGACAGAGGGGGCCUUGCGCGGGGCUGCAUGGAGGCGCCUCCCCUCAGGCGGCUCCAGGGCCUCCACGUCCACCUCUAUCUCUGCCCCAGCCCCACGUGCAUCCUUCUCCAUCUCUCCUUCUCCUGCCCUCUCUGGGCUGCAUGCUGGUCACUGUGAUGAGGGGACACCUGUGAAGCAGGUGCCACUGUGUCCACCUUGCCGAUGGAGACACCGAGGCUGAGGAUUAGGGAAUGGCCUGGGAUGCCCGUGCCUGUCUGGAGAUGCCACUCGGGCUGGGGUCUCCAGGGGUGUCAAGGGGCCAGCCAGCGGGGGGAGGGGGAGUGUGGGAAUCCCAGCUCCAGGGCCGUCCCUGCAGGGUCUUCCAGCGGCACAGGGCCCUGCCCCGGGGGCUGUGCCAGCUCACGGAAGGGCUUACCACCUCCAGGGAGCGCCCCUGUGGCUGCACACAUUAGAAGCACGCGGUGUGUGCGGUGGCUAGAGAUGGCACCACGGCCAGCAGGGUCCCACGAGACACGGCGUCCAAGGAGGAGCUGGGCUCCCACCCCGACUCGGAGCGCCCGCCGACACAGAGGUUCCACCACGCGCCUGCUGCGGGCUCAGGGUGGCCUGGCUCGGGGAGCAGCGAGCCACCGAGACACACACCCUGGGCACCAGCCGCCUCCCACGUGUCCACCAGAGCCAUCAUCCUCCGCGCUCCAGCCGCCUGCUCCAGCGCAAGAACCCAGCCCGGCCCAGCCCAGAGCCGGCCUGUGUCCACCCAGAGCCCCAGCGGGUAAAGCCGCCGCCUGCAGUGCUGGCAUCCCAUAUGGUUGCUUGUUCGAGUCCCGGCUGCUCCACUUCCGAUCCAGCUCUCUGCUGUGGCCUGGGAAAGCAGUGGAGGAUGGCCCAAGUCCUUGGGCCCCUGCACCCACGUGGGAGACCUGGAAGAAGCUCCUGGCUCCUGAUAGGCUCAGCUCCAGCCGUUGUGGCCAUUUGGGGAGUAAACCAGCGGAUGGAAGACCUCUCUCUCUCUGUCUCUCUCUCUGCCUCUCUGUAACUCUGCCUUUCAAAUAAAAAAAUCAAUCUUAAAAAACAAAACAAAA